GGAGAAUUAGGAUCAACAUCGACUGUAGCCAGAUAAUCAGGCUUGUUUCUCCCGGUCCCGGAGUAAACGGCGGUGACAUAGAUGAGAGUUUCUCUGGGGCCGGACAUGGCUUGGAGAGGAGUAGCGUAGCCCGGUCCAUGGUGGCAACAAGCGUUGCCAUUCCCGUUCCUCGCUCCAUCCGCCAUAGCUUCUGCGCUUGAAGAAUCG
rnacentral:misc_RNA from 1 species